GAGGCCCUACGGGACGCAGCAGUAGGGAAUCUUCCACAAUGGGCGAAAGCCUGAUGGAGCAACGCCGCGUGGGUGAAGAAGGUCUUCGGAUCGUAAAAACCUGUUGUUAGAGAAGAAAGUGCGUGAGAGUAACUGUUCACGUUUCGACGGUAUCUAACCAGAAAGCCACGGCUAACUACGUGCCAGCAGCCGCGGUAAUACGUAGGUGGCAAGCGUUAUCCGGAUUUAUUGGGCGUAAAGGGAACGCAGGCGGUCUUUUAAGUCUGAUGUGAACGCCUUCGGCUUAACCGGAGUAGUGCAUUGGG
rnacentral:rRNA from 1 species